rnacentral:rRNA from 1 species
UACGUAGGGACCAAGCGUUGUUCGGAUUUACUGGGCGUAAAGGGCUCGUAGGCGGCCAACUAAGUCGGAUGUGAAAUCCCCAGGCUUAACCUGGGAACUGCAUCCGAUACUGGAUGGCUUGAAUUCGGGAGAGGGAUGCAGAAUUCCAGGUGUAGCGGUGAAAUGCGUAGAUAUCGGAAGGAACAUCAGUGGCGAAAGCGACUUCCUGGACCAGUACCGACGUUCAGGCACGAAAGCGUGGGGAGCAAACAGG